GGGGGGGAAUAGAACAGGAGAUUGAAAAUAGGGGAUUAGCUCGUAUAGUGAACGAAAACAGUGAGAAAGAGGGGGAACGAAAAGCAAAAUCACAAAAUUAUUGGGGGAAAAGCUCCAAUCUCGCCCCGCAACCCGAGGUUUGCUUUCCAGUUGAGCUGGGUCUGUUCAGUUCCGUUCGUGAUUCCGGCGCUGCUACGUUUCCUGUUAGUCCCGUCGAUUAGCAUUUUCAGAUUUUUUCUCAUACAAGUGUGGAUCUACUUAUCGGAGAGUUUGGGCAUGACAGACGCCUUAGGACCAUCCAGUCAGGAGUUUGCUUAAGGAGAUUUUUUUUAGUUAUUAUGUUUUAAGUCUGUUGUUUUUUUAUGUCGUCUUUUACCUUCUAGUUUUGUACAGUAAUGUUGGGUCUUUCGUUAUUGUAUUUCCUAUUCUGUAUUAGAAAAAGAUGUGUUAUAGAUCAAAAAUCCAAAAAAAGGAUAUUUUGCGUUUUUA